CGAUGAAGCCCAGCUUUGCUGGGUGGAUUAGUGGCGAACGGGUGAGUAACACGUGAGCAACGUGCCCAUAACUCUGGGAUAACCUCCGGAAACGGUGGCUAAUACUGGAUAUCUAACACGAUCGCAUGGUCUGUGUUUGGAAAGAUUUUUUGGUUAUGGAUCGGCUCACGGCCUAUCAGCUUGUUGGUGAGGUAAUGGCUCACCAAGGCGACGACGGGUAGCCGGCCUGAGAGGGUGACCGGCCACACUGGGACUGAGACACGGCCCAGACUCCUACGGGAGGCAGCAGUGGGGAAUAUUGCACAAUGGGCGAAAGCCUGAUGCAGCAACGCCGCGUGAGGGAUGACGGCCUUCGGGUUGUAAACCUCUUUUAGUAGGGAAGAAGCGAAAGUGACGGUACCUGCAGAAAAAGCACCGGCUAACUACGUGCCAGCAGCCGCGGUAAUACGUAGGGUGCAAGCGUUGUCCGGAAUUAUUGGGCGUAAAGAGCUCGUAGGCGGUUUGUCGCGUCUGCUGUGAAAUCCCGAGGCUCAACCUCGGGUCUGCAGUGGGUACGGGCAGACUAGAGUGUGUAAGGGGAAAAUUGGAAUUCCUGGUGUAGCGGUGGAAUGCGCAGAUAUCAGGAGGAACACCGAUGGCGAAGGCAGAUCUCUGGGCCAUUACUGACGCUGAGGAGCGAAAGCAUGGGGAGCGAACAGGAUUAGAUACCCUGGUAGUCCAUGCCGUAAACGUUGGGCGCUAGAUGUGGGGACCAUUCCACGGUUUCCGUGUCGUAGCUAACGCAUUAAGCGCCCCGCCCGGGGGAGUACGGCCGCAAGGCUAAAACUCAAAGGAAUUGACGGGGGCCCGCACAAGCGGCGGAGCAUGCGGAUUAAUUCGAUGCAACGCGAAGAACCUUACCAAGGCUUGACAUAUACCGGAAACGUUCAGAAAUGUUCGCCCCGCAAGGUCGGUAUACAGGUGGUGCAUGGUUGUCGUCAGCUCGUGUCGUGAGAUGUUGGGUUAAGUCCCGCAACGAGCGCAACCCUCGUCGUAUGUUGCCAGCACGUAAUGGUGGGAACUCAUAUGAAACUGCCGGGGUCAACUCGGAAGAAAGGUGGGGGAUGACGUCCAAUCAUCAUGCCCCCUUAUGUCUGGGGG
rnacentral:rRNA from 1 species